AUUGAACGCUAGCGGCAUGCUUUACACAUGCAAGUCGAACGAGUGGCGGACGGGUGAGUAAUAUAUCGGAACGUGCCCAAUAGCGGGGGAUAACUACUCGAAAGAGUGGCUAAUACCGCAUACUCUUGGAGCGGCAGAUAUCGGAUUAGCGAGUGGGUGGGGUAAAGGCUCACCAAGGCAACGAUCCGUAGCUGGUCUGCGAGGACGACCGGCCACACUGGGACUGAGACACGGCCCAGACUCCUACGGGAGGCAGCAGUGGGGAAUGUUGGACAAUGGGGGAAAGCCUGUUCCAGCCAUCCCGCGUGUAUGAGAAGGCCUUCGGGUUGUAAAGUACUUUUGGCAGAGAAGCGGUAUCUGCAGAAUAAGCACCGGCUAACUACGUGCCAGCCGCCGCGGUAAUAC
rnacentral:rRNA from 1 species